UAAUCCGCAUUAUUAUGGAUUAU
rnacentral:snRNA from 1 species